GACAGUGACCCAAGAGGCAUUCCCAGAAUAUACAUGAGUGGCGUACAGGAGAACCCGUAUUCCUGAUAGUGGUUAAUGUUUCAGCUCCUCUUCGGAAACAACCUUCCACCGGAAUCACCAGGUACAGAGUCCUCCUUUCUGCUGUGACGCUUCUGCCACUGGACUCCUCCCCCGACUUGCCAAUACCGCAACUAUAUCCACUAAAUCUGC